rnacentral:rRNA from 1 species
GAUGAACGCUGGCGGCGUGCCUAAUACAUGCAAGUCGAGCGAACGGACGAGAAGCUUGCUUCUCUGAUGUUAGCGGCGGACGGGUGAGUAACACGUGGAUAACCUACCCAUAAGACUGGGAUAACUUCGGGAAACCGGAGCUAAUACCGGAUAAUAUUUUGAACCUCAUGGUUCAAAAGUGAAAGACGGUCUUGCUGUCACUUAUAGAUGGAUCCGCUCUGCAUUAGCUAGUUGGUAAGGUAACUGCUUACCAAGGCAACGAUGCAUAGCCGACCUGAGAGGGUGAUCGGCCACACUGGAACUGAGACACGGUCCAGACUACUACGGGAGGCAGCAGUAGGGAAUCUUCCGCAAUGGGCGAAAGCAUGACGGAGCAACGCCGCGUGAGUGAUGAAGGUCUUCGGAUCGUAAAACUCUGUUAUUAGGGAAGAACAUAUGUGUAAGUAACUGUGCACAUCUUGACGGUACCUAAUCAGAAAGCCACGGCUAACUACGUG